CAGGGGAUGGGCUAUUACCAUUGUGACGUCGGCGCCCAUGACUACUCUCCCUUUUCGAAACGUUUUGAAAAACAAUGCAACCAUCCCAAUGGAAUAUUAUUGAAGCCCUGGUUGAAAAAGCCCCUAAAGAGUUAUGUUAUACAACGUUUGACAUGUUUGAACGAACUUAAAUCAUUUUUUUUUGCUCAUUCCUGACGACAAGUCAGACGCACACGGUACAUUUUCACUAGCCUUCGGAGCGCGCUAACACUAUUGGGACAUAAAUUAUUCACUUUUUUGAACAAAACUACAUUUGUUAUGGACCUGGGAUUCCUAGAAGUGCCUUCUGAUAAAGAUAAUCAAAGGAUAAGAAGAUGAAGCCAUUUUAACCCCUCUGGGAGUGGGAGCCACCACUGCCGCCGCAUGCCCUCCUUUUCUCCUUCUCUCCCCUGCCAUCCAGGAAUUACCCAGGCUCCUCCACUCUCCACUUGUGUUGAUUUCCUGGUGCUGUCAGUGUGGUGAAACUGCUGGGUGCGCUCAGUUGGGCAGC
rnacentral:lncRNA from 1 species